rnacentral:lncRNA from 1 species
AAACCAGGCUGAAGAAACCAGGCUGGAGACCCACCUGGUCCUGGGUACUGAGAUAUUCACCAGUCCCCUUUAGAAAAGGACCCAGGCAAGAGAGUUAUGUCACCUAUGUGCAGGUGCCGCCCUUAUGUCACAAUGCUCCAUGUGGGCAGGGUCAAGCAGAAAGUCAUAUCACCUGGAUGAUAGGACCAGCAAAACAUUACAAAGCCUUCCUUAAAGCAUGGCCCAGGCAAAAGAAUACCAUCACCUUUGUGCCUGACCUAGCAACAUGUCACUAUUCCAGUGUGUAGGCCCCAAGCAGAAGAGCCAUAUUACCUACAUGACAGGCCCUGUGAUAUGUCACAAUGCCCUCUUUGGGGCAUGGUCCUGGCAAAAGAGUAUCAUCACCUGUCUCCCUGGCCUAGGAAUAUGUCACCAUCCUGCCCUAUGUGUAGAGCCAAUUUCAGAGAAAAGAGUUAUGUCUUCUAAGUGAUGGACACAGUGAUAUGUUAGAAUGAUGUCUGAGGGCAUGGUGCAGGCAAGAAUGAACAUCACCUGGAUGCUGGAUCCAGUGAUGUCACAAUUCUUCCUGAGAGCAGGGCCCAAGCAGAAGAGACACAUCACUUCAAGGUUGGACCAGGUAGAUAUCAAAAUCCCAUAUGGAUUAGAUUUAUGAUACCACACAUGUCCUGUUUUCAUGUAGGACAGUUGCCUUCAUCCAUCUGUGAUGGUGAAAGUCCUUACAGUCGACUGGCUGUGCAUACAAGACUCACAGUUUCUUCUGUGUGCUAGGCCCUGUUAUAACACUCUCUGUAAAACUGAAGGUUGUUAUAAAAUAUGUGUGAGUGUUGUAAU